CUUUCCCAGCUGCAGGAGUUGGAGGCUUUAUACCCAACAAGGACUAUGCCCCAAAUGGCAUCCUAAUCCCUUUUUAAUAGGGCUCUGGUUAAAAGUAGUGCAUUAUAUUAGGAAUAGGGAGCCAUUUUGGACACAGCCAUGAUCAGAUAAAGGUUCUGCUGCCACUGAUCCUCUUCAGCAGUAGCCAUUCUGAUAAGGAGAUCAUCGUAAUGACACAACCUCCGGAGUCCAUUUGUCGCUCACUCCGAAGUUUCGGAACAGCAGGAAGUGGCAAGUAGGAAAUGGGGUGUCCGUUUUUUAUACUGUUGUGCCAGGAUGUCCCCUAUAGGCUACAGACAGUAAGAAAUCUGAAAACAACACGAUAGAUUUUACACUGCAACAUUAACACGAGCUGACACAGAGGAUUACACGCAGACAGCUGGAAUGCCCGGGCCUUUUUGUCUAGCGUGGAUCUCAGCCAAAAGCCUUCGGUCGGAGGCCAAGAGAGACCUGGGAAAAAGACUUCUCCUUGGAAAUAAACACAAGAGUGGCCAAGAGGAAGGAAUGUGCCACUGGUGGACAAAUGGAGCCGGGAGGGACUGUGCAAUGACCGGACAGCAUCAGGGCACCAUGCCGGACAGAAGGCUGCUCGGCAGGCUGGGCUGGGCUGGGACACUGUGUCUGAGACCUCCGACCUCCAACCAGUGGACCAACAACCACUCACACUAUGAGAAUGCUUUGUCUAUCUGUCUGUGCAAAGUCAUUACGAUCAUUUCACUCACAUAUUGAUCUCCUCAAUUCCUACAGUAUUCAGUGAAAACAAGAAUGGACUACUGUAAGAGACAAGCAUAUUCCACGUCUUCAAAUAUGAAACAACAAAAGGCAUGUAUCAUUGGUCGGAUAAUAUUGGCAUGAAAUAGUUCCCUGUGAGAUAAAAAAUUAUAUUACGUAAACACUGCAUCUCCAAAAUAAAAAUGUAUAAUAAAAUGUGAAUAAAAUAGAUGCAUGACAUAUCAAUAUGAUAUUAGGAAACAAUCUUGAAGUACCGCUAGCCUAUAGAAACAACUGAGUGGGAGAACAGAAGAACUGCGCAUAGUGGGAGUCGAUGAAUGAGUUUGAAUGAGGUGAGCUUUGUGUGUGUGUCCAUGCGUGUGGCCCUGUGUGUGUCUGUGUGUGUCCCUGUGUCUGUGUGUGUCCCUGUGUCUGUGUGUGUCCCUGUGUCUGUGUGUGUCCCUGUGUCUGUGUGUGUCCCUGUGUCUGUGUGUGUCCCUGUGUCUGUGUGUGUCCCUGUGUCUGUGUGUGUCCCUGUGUCUGUG
rnacentral:lncRNA from 1 species